AAAAGUUUAGGAUACCCAGUCCAAGAGCCUUCAAAGCCCUAAGCAAACC
rnacentral:tRNA from 1 species